rnacentral:rRNA from 1 species
GACGAACGCUGGCGGCGUGCUUAACACAUGCAAGUCGAACGGAAAGGCCCUGCUUGCAGGGUGCUCGAGUGGCGAACGGGUGAGUAACACGUGGGUGAUCUGCCCCUUACUUUGGGAUAAGCCUGGGAAACUGGGUCUAAUACUGGAUAGGACCAUGCUGUAGGUGGUGUGGUGGAAAGAUUAGUUUCGGUAAGGGAUGAGCUCGCGGCCUAUCAGCUUGUUGGUGGGGUAAUGGCCUACCAAGGCGUCGACGGGUAGCCGGCCUGAGAGGGUGGACGGCCACAUUGGGACUGAGAUACGGCCCAGACUCCUACGGGAGGCAGCAGUGGGGAAGAUUGCACAAUGGGCGCAAGCCGGAUGCAGCGACGCCGCGUGGGGGAUGACGGCCUUCGGGUUGUAAACUCCUUUCAGCCAUGACGAAGCCCUUGUGGUGACGGUAGUGGUAGAAGAAGCACCGGCUAACUACGUG